rnacentral:rRNA from 1 species
GACGAACGCUGGCGGCGUGCUUAACACAUGCAAGUCGAACGGAAAGACCCUGCUUUUGUGGGGUGCUCGAGUGGCGAACGGGUGAGUAACACGUGAGUAACCUGCCCUUGACUUUGGGAUAACUUCAGGAAACUGGGGCUAAUACCGGAUAGGAGCUCCUGCUGCAUGGUGGGGGUUGGAAAGUUUCGGCGGUUGGGGAUGGACUCGCGGCUUAUCAGCUUGUUGGUGGGGUAGUGGCUUACCAAGGCUUUGACGGGUAGCCGGCCUGAGAGGGUGACCGGCCACAUUGGGACUGAGAUACGGCCCAGACUCCUACGGGAGGCAGCAGUGGGGAGUAUUGCACAAUGGGCGGAAGCCUGAUGCAGCAACGCCGCGUGCGGGAUGACGGCCUUCGGGUUGUAAACCGCUUUCGCCUGUGACGAAGCGUGAGUGACGGUAAUGGGUAAAGAAGCACCGGCUAACUACGUG